rnacentral:rRNA from 1 species
GAUGAACGCUGGCGGCGUGCUUAACACAUGCAAGUCGAACGGCAGCGCGGACUUCGGUCUGGCGGCGAGUGGCGGACGGGUGAGGAAUGCAUCGGAAUCUGCCCCGACGUGGGGGAUAACGUAGGGAAACUUACGCUAAUACCGCAUACGUCUUACGGGAGAAAGCGGGGAUCGAAAGACCUCGCGCGGCGGGAUGAGCC